CGGCGGACGGGUGAGUAACGCGUGGGAACGUGCCUUCUGGUUCGAAUAACCUGGAAAUAGGGCUAAUACCGGAUACGCCUUAUGGGGAAAGGUUUACUGCCGGAAGAUCGCCCGCGUCUGAUUAGCUAGUUGGUGGGGUAACGGCCUACCAAGGCGACGAUCAGUAGCUGGUCUGAGAGGAUGAUCAGCCACACUGGGACUGAGACACGGCCCAGACUCUACGGGAGGCAGCAGUGGGGAAUAUUGGACAAUGGGCGCAAGCCUGAUCCAGCCAUGCCGCGUGAGUGAUGACGGCCUUAGGGUUGUAAAGCUCUUUUCUCCGGGACGAUAAUGACGGUACCGGAGGAAUAAGCCCCGGCUAACUUCGUGCCAGCAGCCGCGGUAAUACGAAGGGGGCUAGCGUUGCUCGGAAUCACUGGGCGUAAAGGGCGCGUAGGCGGCGUUUUAAGUCGGGGGUGAAAGCCUGUGGCUCAACCACAGAAUGGCCUUCGAUACUGGGACGCUUGAGUCUGGUAGAGGUUGGUGGAACUGCGAGUGUAGAGGUGAAAUUCGUAGAUAUUCGCAAGAACACCGGUGGCGAAGGCGGCCAACUGGACCAGUACUGACGCUGAGGCGCGAAAGCGUGGGGAGCAAACAGGAUUAGAUACCCUGGUAUCCACGCCGUAAACGAUGAAUGCUAGCUGUUGGGUGCAUGC
rnacentral:rRNA from 1 species